GGUGUGCGUAGGUUAAAAGUGUGAAUAGAUAUUGUGUUGCCAUGAGUAUUUCAUGUUUGUUACACAACAAUCAAUAUUAGCUACAAUUUGUUCUUCAUCCGAGUGAACAAUAAAGAUGUAACUGUGUUGCUGAUAAAACAACCAUGAUACUGACAUAUAUGUAUGUUUAUCCAGAUAUUAAUAGCGGCAAACCAUUUUGCUAACUUAGUAAUUAGGCUGAGGGCCUGUAAUGUAAGCAAAUUAAAAUUCUUCUUAAAGAUUAACUCAUCUGUGACCAAUGACCACUCCACAAUUUAGAGCCCACUACAAAUAUGUCAAGCUUGUAUUCAAGGCCCAUUUUGAGCAUCUCACAGUAGCUAUUUCUAGCUAUGUAGCUUCUCAUUGCUUUUUGGACUAAGGAUUUUCCAUUAGCAUUCAACGUGUUACGCCUGGUAUAACGCUGCUGGAAGAACUCCGGCAAUGGUUAUACAAAGUAUGGAAUUGGUUGUGAUCUGUUUUUAUUCUGUACUGACAUCCAGAAUCUUUUCGGGCAGAUGUGAGGGUUUGGAGGCAUUGCUGUGAAAAUUUUUGAUGCUGGGUACACUUUUGAAAUUAAAGCUUAGUGGUCAAGAAGAAUUUGUCAGGCUAGGUGAUGAAAAUUUUUUUCGUGGGUGGUGAAUCAUACAGUUUUAACAGCUCUGAUGUGAUUUAUUUCACCUUCAUACAUCGUGCAGAAGUUGGUGACCUGAAAACCUUAACAUGGAAAAGUCAUCUGUGCCUGUGCACUGGAUGUCCAACAUUCAAUUAGUAUUUCUAUUUCUUUAGGCUUGCUGUUGUUUUCCAGCUAUAUCUAGCAUGUAAAUCUUGAUCCAGGUAUAUGAUAAUAUUCAGUGAAAUGAGGAAUAAAUUAUCAUUUAUCCCAGGUAAAGGUGUGAACCUUCCAAAGACAGCAGUUCAAUUAAAGUAGGUUUGGGUGUGGAGAAUGGUAAUCUUUAAUUAGUGGAUGUGUACCUAAAGGACAGUGUUUGCCAUUGUGGUGAGUGUACUUGAGGCCUUUAAAAUGAUCAAUGAAGUUUGAGGUGUAACAUGUCGAAACUGGUUUUGAGGACAUGAAUAAGAAUAUCUUAGCAAAUCGAACUGCUGUUACCUGUCUGCAGGGUAAUUACUUUUAUGUUGAUUUCACACUUUCG